rnacentral:rRNA from 1 species
UACGUAGGGUGCAAGCGUUGUCCGGAAUUAUUGGGCGUAAAGAGCUCGUAGGCGGUCUGUCGCGUCUGCUGUGAAAACUCAGGGCUUAACCCUGAGCUUGCAGUGGGUACGGGCAGACUAGAGUGCGGUAGGGGGGACUGGAAUUCCUGGUGUAGCGGUGAAAUGCGCAGAUAUCAGGAGGAACACCGGUGGCGAAGGCGGGUCUCUGGGCCGUAACUGACGCUGAGGAGCGAAAGCGUGGGGAGCGAACAGG